rnacentral:miRNA from 1 species
AUUAGUAAGUAGAGAACCCAGGGUAUUCAAUAUGGCAUAUGUCCAGUCUUUUUUAGUAGCCACUUAGUCACAAACAUUGGCCAAAGUUAGCAUUUAUAUUUAUUUGUGUUUUAAAAAUGCAAAAAAAUAUUAUAAACGCUAACUUUGGCCAGUGUUUGUGACUAAGUGACUACUAAAAAAGACUGAACAUACCCCAUUUGCAAUACCUUGGGCUGUCUUCUUUUGCAAAU